CACACCAAACCCCACAACUGGUCAGCGGCACAAGGCGCAGUGACGGGAGGGCACCAGAGGGCUGUGGUGGCAGGGGAGCAUGGUGACCUGAGAGCCCCAGAGGGGGCUGGGGGAGCAGAGGGG